rnacentral:rRNA from 1 species
AGAGUUUGAUCCUGGCUCAGAUUGAACGCUGGCGGAAUGCUUUACACAUGCAAGUCGAACGAUGAACCUUAGCUUGCUAAGGGGAUUAGUGGCGAACGGGUGAGUAAUAUAUCGGAACGUGCCUUGUAAUGGGGGAUAACUAGUCGAAAGAUUAGCUAAUACCGCAUACGCCCUGAGGGGGAAAGUAGGGGAUCUUCGGACCUUACGUUAUAAGAGCGGCCGAUAUCUGAUUAGCUAGUUGGUGGGGUAAUGGCCUACCAAGGCGACGAUCAGUAGCUGGUCUGAGAGGACGACCAGCCACACUGGAACUGAGACACGGUCCAGACUCCUACGGGAGGCAGCAGUGGGGAAUUUUGGACAAUGGGCGCAAGCCUGAUCCAGCCAUUCCGCGUGAGUGAAGAAGGCCUUCGGGUUGUAAAGCUCUUUCGCAAGGGAAAAAAACUUACAUUCUAAUAAAGUGUGAGGCUGACGGUACCUUGAUAAGAAGCACCGGCUAACUACGUGCCAGCAGCCGCGGUAAUACGUAGGGUGCGAGCGUUAAUCGGAAUUACUGGGCGUAAAGCGUGCGCAGGCGGUUUGGCAAGUCAGAUGUGAAAUCCCCGAGCUCAACUUGGGAACUGCGUUUGAAACUGCCAGACUAGAAUAUGUCAGAGGGGGGUAGAAUUCCACGUGUAGCAGUGAAAUGCGUAGAGAUGUGGAGGAAUACCAAUGGCGAAGGCAGCCCCCUGGGAUAAUAUUGACGCUCAUGCACGAAAGCGUGGGGAGCAAACAGGAUUAGAUACCCUGGUAGUCCACGCCCUAAACGAUGUCUACUAGUUGUUGGUGGAGUAAAAUCCAUGAGUAACGCAGCUAACGCGUGAAGUAGACCGCCUGGGGAGUACGGUCGCAAGAUUAAAACUCAAAUGAAUUGACGG